CCGGGCACGCCCCCCGCGCCCCUCCCGGCGGCCGCUCGCGCUCGCCGAGCCGGCGCGAGGCUGUCAGGCAGCCGGGCUCCGCCGUCGCGCGCUCUCCCUGGCGUCGGGCUCUGCGAGACGCACCGGGAGCGGCCAUGAAGAUCUGGAGCUCGGAGCACGUGUUCGGGCAUCCCUGGGAUACAGUGAUCAAAGCUGCUAUGAGGAAGUACCCCAACCCCAUGAAUCCGUGUGUGGUGGGAGUGGAUGUCCUGGACAGGAGCCUGGAUAACCAGGGGAGGCUGCACAGUCACCGCCUGCUCAGCACGGAGUGGGGACUGCCCAGCAUUGUCAAAGCGAUAUUAGGAACAAGUAGAACUCUGACUUACAUAGAGGAGCAUUCUGUGGUAGAUCCAGUGGAAAAGAAGAUGGAGCUUUGCUCAACUAAUAUUACACUCACAAACUUGGUGUCUGUUGACGAGAGACUGGUUUACACACCUCAUCCAGAAAACCCGGAAAAGACUGUGCUAACCCAAGAAGCAAUUAUUACUGUUAAAGGCAUUAGCUUGAGCAGUUAUCUGGAAAGCUUGAUGGCAAAUACAAUAUCUUCUAAUGCCAGAAAGGGGUGGGAUGCUAUUGAGUGGAUAAUUCAAAAUUCUGAGAGCGCUCUAAGCUAGCAGUUCUCCACACCUGCAGUUUGUACUAACUAGUGGUAAUGCCAGCAUUCUCCUUCUUGGGCCGGGAUGCCCUGGAGUGGGUGAUCAGCAAACUAAACACAGAACUGGAAGAGCUGAAGUCCACGCGUGAGGGGAUCAAACCAGCCAUGGCAGCAGCGUCCACGGAACAAUAAAGCCAAAUCUUUGGGUUCACCAAAUAAAACCAAGAAACUGACAGAAAAGUCUUAUUCUGCAGACUGCUCUGUAGAGCUCCCUCCCAAGGCUGAUCUGCAGAGGAUUUGUCCAUUUGUAAGAAUACUGGAUCAGCGGAAAAGUAACCUCAUCCAUCAUCUCCACGCAGCUCUUGUUGCCUACUGAAGUUUAAACUGACCUCCUGCAGAUGCUCUUUUCAUUUGAACAGUUUAUGUUUAACACUGGAAAUAAAAUGUUUAGCACAUUCAAAGCAGCCUAAAUGUACCUUUUCAAAUAAAGGUAGAGGACAUGUUAUAUUUACACCAUCUCAAACUGAAAAGCUUGAAAAAAAGCAUGUGUGGGAUUAAGGGUUUUCUGUGUGAACUUUUGUUCUGUAAAGGGCUGAUAGGCCCUAGAGCACUGAAUUUUGUCUGGUUUGUAAUCUGAUAAUGUCUUAUGGCCAGUUAAAGGGAACUACAUGAGUCAGAACAUGAUACUGUAAAUCUGAUAUUUAUCUAGAGGAUCAUCUUGAAAGGCUACAUCUUGUGUGGAACUAACUCUUCUUAGGUGCUGCCUGAACAUGACACAUAGAUAAUUUACCUCUUAGAUAUUUGUAUCCAAACAAAGAUAAAGUUUCUAUUGAUGUUAAUAGCCUAAGAUAGUUUUUCUGGUGGGAAGAAGGGUAUAAUUUAUUUUCUUAUUUAUUAAUUUUUCCUCUUUCCUCCCCUCCCUGUGGGGACAGGGAUUACUUGAAGGUGCUGGAAAAUACUUACUUAUCUCUAAGAAGGGUAUUUGUAGGCUGCUGGAAUGAAGAGACCGUGCUGUUCCACUGGUCCUUGUUCUUCACAUCACAUCUUACCUGAGGGAGAAAUUGAUGCAAUAACCAGAAGAGUUGAAAUGAGAAAUGAGCAGAAAAUUUUACAUCUAAAUGAUAAGGUUUCAUAAAGAGAAACUUUUAAUUUCCUGAGUGGAGAAAACAAGAAUACAAGAACCACAAGUGGACUCUCAUUUCUAAAUGCUUUUUGUUAACUACUGACUACCAGUGUAACUGAACCUUUUCAACUCUUUUCCACGUGGGUACAAAAUGGUUUUAAAAUCGUUUGAAAUGCUUCUCAUUAUCUGGAAAAAUACUCCAAUAACUGCAGAAACUUUCCUAUUAAAUAUGCAUAAAUAUAUAUUGGUGAUGACUCUAACCUUGUCUGAUGUUUACAGAAUUGUCAUGUUUGGUCCAGAUGUAAUAUGUGUUUCUCUGACAGAACCCUCUGUUAGGGCAUUUUAACUUAUUUCUUGUUAUGCACACAAAGUGAAACAAGUGUUGCAAGGAUGUUUACUUGUUCAAGUGGCAAGCAUGUGCUCAGGAAGCUGUUAAAGAGCAUGAGUAACUUCUGAAAAAAUUGAAGAGUAAAAUGUUGGUCACUGUUUUGAUCUGAUAAUUUUAAAGUGUUUGUAGCUUAAGGGAAUUUGCAGCAUUCAUAUUCUGGUUGGUUUGAAAGUAAACUUUAAUCUGGGUGUAACUAAAUUACAUGAUCCUAAUGAAUAAACCUACUUUAAAAAAUA